CAGUAGCCACGGGAAUACGUAGGGUGCGAGCGUUAAUCGGAAUUACUGGGCGUAAAGCGAGCGCAGACGGUUACUUAAGCAGGAUGUGAAAUCCCCGGGCUCAACCUGGGAACUGCGUUCUGAACUGGGUGACUAGAGUGUGUCAGAGGGAGGUAGAAUUCCACGUGUAGCAGUGAAAUGCGUAGAGAUGUGGAGGAAUACCGAUGGCGAAGGCAGCCUCCUGGGAUAACACUGACGUUCAUGCUCGAAAGCGUGGGUAGCAAACAGGAUUAGAUACCCGAGUAGUCCCUGUCUCUUAUAC
rnacentral:rRNA from 1 species